GGGUCAGUAGGUUGGGCGUGCCUCCGGUACGUACUGGUCUCACUGAUUCCUCCUUCCUGAAGAACCGUAAUGCCAUUAAUUUGGUGUUGCGGGGAAACAGGACUGUUACUUUGAAAAAAUUAGAGUGUUUAAAGCAGGCUAACGCUUGAAUACAUUAGCAUGGAAUAAUGAAAUAGGACGAUCGAUCCUAUUUUGUUGGUUUCUAGGAUUGACGUA
rnacentral:rRNA from 1 species